CAUAUUGCAGCAGCAACUAUGAAAGGUACCCUUUUCUCUUCAAAUCCUCUACAGCAUCCUUAAUAAUCUUCUCCAUUGGAAUGAAUUGCAAACCCAAAUCCAUAAGUUUCUUUGAUCCAUCCUUCACUCUCAAUAAUCCUGGUUGGGUAUCUCGUUGCAUCCUUUCAAGCAAAAUCACAUAGUACAUCAUUUACAAGUAUGUUAUGUGUCAAAGUAUCACUAGAAGAAUUAUAUUAACCUUGUAUUUUGAUUAUGAAGACAAUAUACAAACAAGUCUAAAAGAACUAUUCAGAUUAACUAAUCACUUCUUCCUUGCCUGUUCAAGAACUAAUAGGAAAGCUGCACACUAACUACAACAUGUACUAUCUCUUGCAACAAAAGCCUAGUUCAUAAAUAAGCAUAAGAAACAACAACCUAAAGAUUAAUGGCAUACAAGAUAGAUACAUCAGUAAGAGCAUGACUGAAAAGUAAAAACCAACGUUGCAGUGCACAUGAACCAAAUUGUUGUGUUCAAAUAAGAGUAAGAAGUUUCUUCAAUAACACUCAUUCAAGCAAUAUAUCUAAUUCCUGAAUUACCGACCAAACGAUUAUUGCAUUGCAUUGACUAUACAUCUACUAGUGUGUGGCUAACUUACUUAGGCACAUUGUACUCUGGAUAAAGUUCAGCAACUUUGGCAACAAAAUCACCAUAGUGAGAGAUAGAUUCAACACACACAUGCCUACCAACUGCAGAUUUGUUCUCAUACACCAAAAUAUGCGCCAAUGCUACAUCCUUAAAGUGGACUGUUCCCAUAAAAAAGUUCUCAUAUGUAUCAUCACAACCUGCAACACAAAAUACAAAAUAUCACAAAUUCUCAGUAACUCCCCUAAAAAGUUAUAAAUUGGGUAGUUUGAUAUUAGUAUUCGGGUCAACAAUGAUUGUAGAUGGCAAAAUCUAAUGAAAGGAAUACAACAUAAUCAAACAAGCCUGAUACUUUUCAAGAAGUUAUCAAGUUCUAAAUGUCCUACUCAGCUAUACUAUCAACUACGCAGUAGCUGGUUUUGUAAAAUAAGCCUAAUAACUAUGUCACAGCAACUGUUGCGGCAUUUAUUUGCCAUUUUAAAACCUUGACCCCUAAAAUUCCUUUAUUCUUCUUAGUACAUUGCAAAUCCCUUUUCACACAGUUAAAAACCAAGCAAUCUACUUUUCUCUUGUGACUCAAAGAUACUUCAGUAACAAUGCCACUUCUCCAGUUCACAUUCCCAAUAUUCAGGGACACUCCUACUGCAAAAUUAGAAAGAAAUAUUUGCAAAAUCCAAUUGAUUAACCAGCAGUUUGUACCUUGAAGAAGGCGCACGAACAUGACCAUGCUUCCAUUAAGCCUCGGUGCAAUAACCGGACCCACCACAUUGCCAGGAUUCACUACUACAACAUCCAACCCAGUCUCCUUUGCAAAAUCCCAAGCUGCUUUCUCGGCCAAAGUCUUGGACAAUGGAUACCACAACUGUUGCACACACAAACACUUCACACACACAUAUAAGAAAAAGAAACAGAAACUGAAAAAAAAUGAAAACCCUUUCUAACCCCAUUUUGCUUGCAAAAUUCAACGUCAGUCCAGCAGUUCUCCGUCUUUGGAACAUCACCGGGCCAAUUGGGGCUCGGAGUAAUCGCGGAGACAGAGGACGUGACCACCACGCGACGAACUCCAGCUUCUUUCGCUGCCGUCAGCACGUUCAUGGUGCCCUUUAUCGCAGGGUCCAAAAGCUCCUUCUGCAUUAAGACCCAAAUGGGGUCAUGCAAAAACCCAAAAGAUUGAAAAUUUUCGAGGAGCUCGGGGGAACAAGACCUGGGGGUCCUGGACUUGUUCAACAGUGCAGGGAGAGGCGACAUGGAAUACGCCGGCGCAGCCGCACACGGCGGCGAGGACGGAGUCGUAGUGGAGGAGCUCCAUCUGGAAGAGGCGGAGGCGCUCCGACGCUCCAUCCAAGGCUUCUAGAUGCUUCGUCUCGCCCUCAUCGUCUGUUAGAAAAAGUUGUGUUGUGCUGUGUAAGUAUUGAGAUCAAAUGAAUGAAUAAUGAGAGUGUGGAUUGUAUUAACUGAGAUUUUGGACGGUGGCGUGAACGGUGUAGCCGCGGUCCAGAAGGAGGUGGACGAGCCAUGAACCGAUGGCGCCGCUGCCGCCGGUGACACACACCACCUUCUCCAUUUGGCAACUGUAUUCUAUCAACCUCCAGUUUUGUACUGUUCCAGUGUAAUCUGCUGAGGCAAAAAAUAAUUAUAAUUUGAAGUCAUAUCUGUACAAAAAAAUAUAUAUGAGUGGUGCAUAAUGAAUCUCAACACUCACAAAAAUCUCAUUAAAUUUUAUUAUUAUUAUAUUAUCAUCUUACAUGCACCAUAUCAGCAAAACCACAAAUUGCAUCACAUUUUGCAACAGAUGCAGGAAUUGAACCAGAAAUCAGAUGAUAGCAUAUACAAUGUUGUGAUGAAAAUUGGCAUGCUUAUUAUUAUUCAUUAAGCAAUAAUAUAUUAUAGAAGUAUUUUAAUCACUGGAUAUUGUUCUACUAGAUGUAAGAAACAGGUCAGUGACUUCUGUUGUUGAAAAAGUAGUAUAAUAGUUAUAAUAUAAUGUGAUUAAAAACCAUUUUUAUUGUUUUAAUAUACUGCUAAUACUACUAUAAUUAAUGUUAUAUUAAACGUUCAUAAUAUUAUUGUUACAACGUAAACCCACCCUUUAAUUGCAAUUUGUACUAUAUUAAAAUAUGAUGUCAACAUAUAUGUUAUUAUAUUAUUAAUGUUAUUAUCCUUUGGAUUUUUGUGUAUGUUUUUAUUUGGAUUUUCGUUUAUUCAAAAUUUUCAAGUAAAACAUUUAUUCAUUUGAGUGGAUUUUUUUAAAGGACUCAACUACGACCUGCUUCACGUGACAGAUGUUACACCUUAAGUACAUUACACCUUUAGCUCUCACAGUAUUCAAUUAACGCUUGAUUUAGCUUUCUGCAGUGUCUUUAUUCCUUAUCUUUCCUUUUGUCAUCAUUUUUAAUGUGCUUCUCUUACACUCUACUUCAUAAAGUUUAUAACCUACAACUUGCUUAAGCAACUUUCUUCUUACAUGGUUGUGCUCACACUUUACCUCAUUUGUCCUUCAUCGCAUCAGAAGUUCAGAUUGUUCACUUAUUUUUGUAAGACGUUAUUCAAAUUUUUGUUUCAAACUCUUGCAAUUUAAAUCGAUUGUUUUAUCCAAUGUUUUUUUUUUAUGGUUGUCUGUCCUUUUCAUAUCUUAUUUUCAACAAAAUGGCUUAUGAAGAACUUCUCCAUAUGUUGUUUGUUUUCACUUAUGGUUAUUGUUCUUUGUCUGCAUUCUAAUUUUUAAGUUUAAUUUUUAGUUAUCUUUAUAUUGGCAUUUCGGAUUAAAUGCAUCUUCAAUUAUUUUUGUAUGAUUUUUUUCCAUUGCUUACUUACUCUGUUUUCUAUUAAAAUUAAAACUUAUUACUUCUUUCAUGGUGGAUUUCAAGCUUUUGUGCUAAAGAAAUGACCUUUACAACUACAACAUCAGCUGUUUUCUAAAUACUUUUUGUUCUCGUUGUUUUUUUAAAAAAAUAUAAUACUAUUUAGGCAUGUAUUGUGCUCCGCUAGAUUUUAUUUAUGUGUUGUCUCAUAAAAGUCUUUCAUUUCACAGUAAAAUGUAUAGUGCAACUUAAAGAGAAAACCACUAUUUCGUUAUGUGUUCUUUUUCAUUAUAUUUUUCUCAAUUUUAUUCUAGUUGUUUUGUUUAACCUAUAUAUGCUUAUGUUGUUUUUAUGUUUUUCUUUUUUUUGUCAUAAGAUUUUGUAUUUAUGAACCUCUUAUUCAGAUUGUGUAACAUUUGAAUCUGGUUUGUUGCACACACUAACAUUGGCAGCUAAAACAAAGUUUUAUUGUUAGUUUAUAUUUACGAAUGUAUGUGUUCUUCUAUUUAUUUAUGUCCUUUCUUAUUUGACCUAUGUCUUUGACUAAUUGAUCAACACACCAAAUCUUCGCAACUACAAAAAUCUUUUAGUAUGCAAGAAUACAAUGUUGUUCCUUCUUCUUCACAAGUUUUAACAAAUUUGGUUUGCUUAUUUUGUUUUUAUGUAUUUUUGCUUUUUUUUUUAUAUGAUUAUGUAAUUAUGAACCUCUUAUGUUGUUGGAUGUCCAGAUUGUGUAACAUUUUAAUCUAAUUUGUUGCACACAAUUAGAUUGGCAGCUAAAGCAAAAUUUUAAUGUUAGUUUAUAUUUACGGAUUUCUGUGUUAUUCUAUUUAUUUAUGUCCUGUUUAUUUAACCUCUGGCUUUGAAGGAUUCAUCAACACACCAAAUAUUGGCAACUCCGUCAAGGAGAUACAUCCUAGAUUUUUUUUUUCUUCUUGUUUUCCAUGCUUGUAAUGCCCAACAUGAGUAUCUAAUUCUACCCUUUGAGAUUUGAGAUUUUCUCUUUAGUUGUUCCUCUACUCUAACACAAAGUUGAACUAAAUCAUUUAAAUCAUUAUAAGGAAAAAGUUCAACUUUAUCCUUAAUUUCAUAAUUAAGACCACUUUGGAAUCGAGCCCUAAUCCGUGCCCUUAACAUAAAUAACUCAAUUAUCUGCUUCUAUUGUUCUACAAUCAUGUUUAUAUGCGUUAACUUAUUGAGUUGUUUCAUCAACUCUCUAUCAUAUUAGGAAGGCUCAUACCUCUUCCUAAGAGCUGAUCUAAACUCAUUCCAAUACCUUAUUUAGGGAAAAUUAUGCAACCUAAGAUCUUUUGUAUAGGUGGUCCACCAAGUCAUGGUUGAAUCUUGAAAACUAAGGGUAGCUAAGGUAUCCCUCCUCUCAUGAUUUAUUUGGUGAGCCGAAAAAAAUUUCAACCUUCAUCUCCAAGGUUACGUAAUCUUCUAUAUUUGAUGAAAAAUGAAAAUAAGGAAGGUCAAUCUUAGGCUCUUUAGGCACAUGAUGGGCUCGAUGUCUAUGUUGUCUAGCAUUUUAUUGGUAGUAGUAUGUAUUGUGAUACCUACUAUAAUCAUAUUGGCUUUGGUAAGGGAUUGUAUGAUGAUUGCUUAUAUGUUUGUGAGAUCCCUCUCUUAGGAAAUCACAAAUUUAGAAAUUAUUUCUUUCAAUUCUGAAAAAUUCAUUUGCUUGUUUUGUUACUCUUUCAUAGACAUUAAAAGAAUCUUGAGUGUUUUGAUUACCAUGAACACUAGAUUGAUGUGAAGGAUCACCCAUUGUUGAAUUAAAAUAGAAAAAGUUUUCACAAAAAUUUACAAUUCAAUUGAGUGAUCAAAAUAUUUUUUGAAAAUAUUUUUUUAAUUUUUGGUGAAGUAAAUAGAUCAAGUAUGAGAGUUCUCCAAGUUCACUCCCACGAAAAGUGAGGUGAGUCACAAUGGACUACUUACAUACCAAGAGCUUAUCCCAAAUAAUUCUCAACAUAAGUUCCCUCAAAAUAAUUUUAGAAAUGAGAGUGGGUGUUUGAAUGUCGAAAUGAAACUAAAGAUCAAAGGAAGAUCUACUAAUAAGCAAAAAAAGAUAAAAAUCCUAUGUAUCACAGAUACUUAAAAGCAAGAAAAUAAAGGAAGGAAAUAAAGGAAGGAAAUAAAAGCAUGAAAUUAAAGCAAGAAAUUAAUGCUAGUGAAAAGUAAAUUAGCCGCAUCCUAAAGUUCAAGUGCAAUUGACACUAAGACUCCAGCAGCACACUUACACCACUAAUGCACAUGUAAUCUAAGAAUUUGAAGUAAAAUAAGUACAAAAGAAGAUGGACAACAAUAUAGAUAAAUAGUUAAGUGAAUCUCAAGAGAACAUUACAAAGAACUUACUUGAAAUGGACUUUAUUAAAAAUUUUAAUUUCAAGAAAUAUACUAAGUUAUGUUGGAGAUCCCACAUCGACUAGAGAUAAGGACAUUUCAUAAUAUAUAAAUGGGUGCAGACCUCAAUCUUAUGAGCCGGUUUUAUGGGGUUGAGUUAGCCUUAAAGUCCACUUCGCAAUAAGUUACUUUUAUACAUAUAGCUUAAUGAACAUAUCAAGGCAUAAGUAAGUAUAUUUGAUUAUUGUUAUAUAACAAAUUCAUUUGUAAUUCACAUUCCUAAAAGUAUUUACAAAAGAUUCGAAGUAAAGCAUGUCCUUAUCUCAAGAUGCACUACUUGUAAACAAAUAACCCAUCAUAUUCUACAUAUUCCUUUGACAAACUUGAUUACCCGAACUAGAAGUUGCUCAGUUGGAGAUCUCACAUCGACUAGGGAUUAGAGCCUUUUAUUGUAUAUAAAUGGAUGCAAACCUCAACCCUGUGAGCCGGUUUUAUGGGGUUGAGUUAGGCUUAAAGUCACAUCUCUAUCUUAGUGGAAAGUAUUGAAUAGAGUAUAAAUCAUAUACAUCUGUGUUAAAAUGAGUAUACAUCUAUAUUAAAAUGAGUGAUGUCAUUCAUACAUCUAAAGAAAUCAAUGUACAUUCUCAUUUCAUAAUAAAAAGAUAUGAAUGACAAUUACAACACAAAGACCCUACCUACCACGAGUUGGUCAUACUCUAAUCUACGCCCAUAAACUAUUUCCCGUGAGUUCUAGGCAUGGAGGCUUCUCAAUGUUUCAAGCUAUAAACAAAGACUGAGAAUUGUACACUCAAUCAUACAAUAAUAUAAAUAAAAACACAGGAAAAAUCAAUAUCCUCGCAUACAAUAACAUAAUCAAGAGGACAAAUUAUAAUAUACAUCAAAAAAUUAAUUUGGUGAAUUUAAAGACUCAACCAUACAUUCAAUCAAAUCAAAAUGUAUUUCACAAGUAUUAUUAUAGGAUAUGACAACCCAAACUAACAUCGUUUUCCUCCCUCAUCCAACGUCUACUUUCAUGACUUACUACUUAAAAGUACACCUUCAUUGAGAUUAUUUAAAAAAAAAACUUAAAUUGUUAUAUGAAGGUGCAUGGGGAAAAUAGAGAGUGGAGGAGAAUUUGCCAAACUAAUGCCCUUUUCUCUUUCCUUUUUUGUACGUAUGCAACACUUUAUAUUCUAAUUUUCAUGCACAUUUCAAUUCUUCACAAAUGACCUACAAACAAAUAGUGGUCCAUAUGCAUAAAACAAAAUGUAACUAGGGUUUCCAUUCGCAUGUAAACACCCCACGUUUUUCUUACUGUACCCAUAUAAAUUAUCCUUAUUAAUUUAUAAUAUUAUUAAUAAAUUGAAUUUUGAAAAAAUGAUUUUUCUCAUGAUUUAAAACUAAUUUGUUUAACAAUUUGAUACAUACAUUAUAUUAUAGUUAAUGAAAAUAAUAAUUAAUAACUAAAAUCUUAAUAACUAAUUAGAUACAAUUUAAAAAUUAUUUUAUAAUUUUUAUUAAUAAUAAAAACUAUUUAAAUACUAAUACUCAUUCAAUUAUAUCAAUUUCCUUCCAAAUCCUCCUCAUACAUAUAGUAAAGAAAUUGUUUUUCGUUUUCCAUGUUCUUUACACGUUUUCUAUUAAUUUCUUUGUGGACAAUAAGUUUAAGCAUUCCAUCUUCAUUUUGAAAAAAGAAACAAACAGGUGAGAGCUACUCAUACGCAAGUUCCUUUUUCAUACUAUUAGAGAAGUGUAGAUUAUGUCAUAGAAGAGCGUCUAAAGGUAACAGAGAUACAAAAAUGUGAAGACAACACAGAAACAUGACAGAAAUAGAGAUCCACCCAUGAACUAAAAUUAGGUAGAAAAUGUUUUACAAAGAUGUCUCUCGUCACUUGUUUUAGAACAAUGCAAACAUAACAACAACCACACCAACAAAUAUAACAGAUUAACAACAACAGGAAUUUGCACCAAACAUAUGUGCCAUAAGGACUCAUAUUGCAGCAGCAAUUAUGGAAGGAAUCCUUUUUUCUUCAAAUCCUCUACAGAAUCCUUAAUAAUCUCCUCAAUUGGAGUGAUUUGCAAACCCAAAUCCAUAAGUUUCUUUGAUCCAUCCUUCACUCUCAAUAAUCCUGGUUGGGUAUCUCGUUGCAUCCUUUCAAGCAAAAUCACAAAAUACAUCAUUCGCAACUAAGUUAUGCAUUAACAAUAGAUGUAUGAAGUGUGUGGGUAACUUACUUAGGCACAUUGUACUCUGGAUAAAGUUCACCAACUUUGGCCGCAAAAUCACCAAAGUGAGAGAUAGAUUCAACACACACAUGCCUACCAACUGCAGAUUUGUUCUCAUACACCAAAAUAUGUGCCAAUGUUACAUCCUUCAAGUGGACCGAUCCCAUAUAAAUGUCCUCGUAUGUUUCAUCAGAACCUGCGACGCGACAUACAAAUUUGUCUCAAAUUAUCAGUAAUUCCCCUAAAAAAAUCAUAACUUGGGGAGUUUGAUAUUAGUAUUCGAGUCAACAAUUAUACUGUGCAAAAUCUAAUGAAAAGAGUAUAGCACAAUCAAACAAGUCUAAUACUUUUCACGAAGGCAUCAAGUUCUAAAUAUCCUACACAGCUACACCAUCAACUACACUGUCGCAGGUCUUAGAAAACAUAUAAAAUAAUAAUAAAAUAAAAAUAUGAAUAAUAAAUUAAUAACAUAAUAAUAAUUAAAUAAUUAAAAUAAUAAUAAAUAAUAAACAAUAAUAAUGUUGGAGAUCUCACAUCGACUAAAGAUUAGAGUCUUUCAUUGUAUAUAAGUGGGUGCAAACCUUAAAUUUAUGAACUUGUGAGUCAUUUCAUUGUAUAUAAAUAAAUGAAAACCGAUUUUAUGGAGUUGACUUAGACUUAAAGUUUAUUUUGUAAUAAAUAAUAAAAAUAACUGAUAGUAAAAAUAUUAAAAUUAAAAUUAUAAACUAAUUAUAAUAUUAUAUUUUUUAUUUAAUUAAAUUAGUUUAUAAUAAUAUAAAUUAAUUAAUUAUUAUAUAUAUUAUUUUUAAAUUUUUUAAAAUUUAUUAUAUUUAUCAAAUUAGUAAUAAACUUAAUUCAAAAAACUUCAUUUUACUCAACUCCUCAAAUUCCCAGUAUCAAAUUUACUCUCCAUUUGAAAAAAACCCAACUUGAUACAAUGAGUUUAAAAAUAACUAUCUAAAAUAAAGAAUAAAUUUAUACUUAUAUAAUAUAAAAAAUAUAUAUUAAAAUAAUAAUAUUGAAAAUUGUAUAAAAAUACUGCAUUGUAUGAUUAUAUGAUUAACCCAAAAGAUAAAGCAUUCUCAAGCUUUUUGGGUAGUAGAAGAUUUCUUGAUACCAUAUUAUAAUAAUAUAAUAAUAUUUUAAAUUAAAAAUAAAUUAAAUAUAAUUAAAAUAUUAUUUUAAGGAUUUGUCAAGUGGAUUUUUUUAUUAUUGUAUGACCACCCAUUUUAGAACUUUUCCAGUUCACAUUUCCAAUAUUGAAGGAAACUCCUGCUGCAAAAAUAGAAAGAAAUAUUUGGAAAAUCCAACUGAUUAAGCAUUAGUGUCUCUACCUUGAAGAAGGCGCAAGAGCAUGAGCAUGCUUGCAUUAAGCCUGGGUGAAAUAAUCGGACCCAUCACAGUGCCAGGAUUCACUACAACAACAUCCAACCCACUCUCCUUUGCAAAUUCCCAAGCUGCUUUCUCCGCCAAAGUCUUCGACAAUGGAUACCACAACUGUUGCACACACAAACACUUCACACACCAACACAUAUAAGAAAAAGAAACAGAAAAUGAAAAAAAUGAAACCCUUUCUAACCCCUUUUUGCUUGCAAAAUUCAACGUCAGCCCAGCAGUCCUCCCUCUUUGGAACAUCACCGGGCCAACUGGGGCUCGGAAUAAUCGCCGAGACGGAGGACGUGACCACCACGCGACGCACUCCUGCUUCUUUCGCUGCCGUUAAUACGUUCACGGUACCCUUUAUCGCCGGGUCCAGAAGAUCCUUCUGCAUGAAGACUCAAAUGGGAUGAUGAAAAAACCCAAAAGAUUGAAAAUUUGUGAAGAGAUCGAGGAAACAAGACCUGGGGAUCCGAGACUUGAUCAACAAUGCAGGGAGAGGCGAGGUGGAAAACGCCGGCGCAGCCGCGCAUGGCAGCGAGUACGGAGUCAUAGUGGAGGAGCUCCAUCUGAAAGAGGCGGAGGCGCUCCGACGCUCCAUCCAAGUCUUGUAGAUGCUUUGUCUCGGCCUCAUCGUCUGUUAGAAAAGUUGUGUUGUGCUGUGUAAGUAUAUAUUGGGAUGAAACGAAUGAAUAAUAAAAGUUUGGAAUGUGCUAACUGAGAUUUUGGACGGUGGCGUGAACGGUGUAGCCGCGGUCCAGAAGGAGGUGCACGAGCCAUGAACCGAUGCCGCCGCUGCCGCCGGUGACACACACCACCUUCUCCAUUUUGCAGCUGUAUUCUAAGAUGCACUACUUGAAGAACUCCACUGUACUAAGAUAAUGAUGACACGUGUAAGAGAGGAAGAAACAAAGAAAACGAAAGACAGCCACAGAAAGAACAGAGAAAAAAUGAAAACGACGUUCAGAUAAAAGGCAAAAAAUGACCGAAGCAAACAGUUCCAAACAGCAAAAUAUUAGGUUUUAUUUUUUAGUGACUAAAUUAAUAUUGAAUUAUAAAUUUUUAAAGAAUACUUGUAUAAUGUAAUUGUCAUAUUUCUCUAUUAUGUAGAAUUGUAGUGAAAUGGAGGUUAAAUAAUGGUGCCCAACUUGCUAGCUGAAGGUUUUAAAAGGCAAGGAAAAAAUGAUAGCAAAUUAACCGUCAUGUACAAAAAAAGUGGUGGUCCCACAAUCACAAAAAUAGCAUAUAAAUUAAAUAAAAGAACUGACACGUAGAGUUUAGUGUAAUUUGAUGAUUUAUUUAUAAAUUAUUAUUUAUGGUUAUUUUACUGAUUUUUGUAAUAAGUAUUUGAUAUAGUUUAGGAGAGGAUAUGGUAUGCUUUAAUAAGAGGAUUUGAGCACACUUAAGCUUAAAUGAGUGUAUAUAAGCAACAAAAGAAAGAAAAAUAAAUCUAUACAAUUGUUGGAUCAUUCCAAGACUCAAUCAUAGAGGAACACAAACUCAUAGUAGAUAAUUUUUUCUUUUCAUUAAUUUAAUUUCCAACUCAUUGAGAUAAUUAUAAAAGCGUUUCUAUCCAUAACAUUAUGACAAAAUGUAGAGUACACCUUAUUUUCUUAAUAUAUAUAAUUUGACUUUUAUUAACCAAGUGGGCUUCUUCAAUGCCUAAAUCAUUUUAAUAUUUGGCUCCAUUAUUGUGUACCUGUUUCUCAUUUUCUGGUUCUUAUCUCAGACCAACUAAAGCCCACCACGUAUCGUUUCCCAAUUUUUACUUUAUGCAUAUGGACCCGCUUUUUGUUUGUUGCUAUUUUACUUUAUUCCUUUUCAUUUUAUUUUUAAUUCAAAAUAUUAUUAUAUUAUUAUAAGUGUUUGUUAAGUGUAUCUUAUUUACUGUUUUUUAUUGUUUAUGGUUUUAAAGAAACUUUUCUCUUUUGUCAUACAUUCACAUGGGGAGUGCUCAUUUGUUUGCAUGAAAAUUGAAAUACUAAGAGUUGCAGAUGUACAAGAAAGAAAGAGUAGCUCUAAACAAAGAAUAACUUUAUUUUUUAAAAUAAUUUCAGUAACAUUCUUAUAACUUUCUUUUAUUUACAGUACUUUCAUUCUUAUGUCGUAAAAUUAGAAAAAGUAGUUUUUUAUCAAUCAAUAUCGAACGGGUGAGUCAUUUAGUUUCGGAAAUCGAUCAACUGCGUUAAAAUACAUUUAAUACACUCAAUAAAUGACUAUUGUUACAAUUAUGAAAACUUCCGACAAAUCAAAGUCAUAUUCCAUCGAAUUUGGGUGACACCCCCAAGAAAAUAGCUAAUAUUGAUUUAUUGAAGAUAUUCUCCAAAUAUACAUCUCUAUAAUUCAAGGAAUCCCCUAAAAAGCCACUUAACACUGAUAUUUGAUAAAUGCGGUUCAUCACACAAAAUGACUCAUGACUAAACAUUAUAAAUAAAUAUUUUACAAAAGAGGAAUGUAUGUUUUUUAUCAGUUUCACUAUACACUCUUAACACAAGGUACUCACUUGAUCGUCGAAAAAUCUUUUGCAAGUUAACUCCUAAUCGACUAUUGAGAAAUUGAGGAUAGGGAGUCUUGAAGUUUGAAGGAGUGAAGUACUAAGGAGCAAGGGAGGGACCGACAACCAAAACAAUUGUUACAGUCAAUCCCAUGUACUAUUUAUGCUCACUUUGUCAAUACAAGUACAAGUUCCAUCAUUUCAACGUGUGUAAGAGGCUUGACGAGAAGAUUUGUUGUAUUCGACAUUCCCCAAUGCGAAGAUAAUUUUUUUUUUUUAGUUUUAUACUUCAUUUUUGCACAUCAUUUUUUUAUGAAUUUUGUGGCUUCCAAAAAAAGAAAAAAAAUAAAUGAAUAAAAACACAGUCACCAUGAGCAAUCACCAUCACUUGAAAAUGAAGAAGACACAACACUCUCCAUCAAAUAUUGUUGGAAUUAAAAAAGAGUAUGGAAGUGGAGAAUGAAGGUACGGAGAUGCAAGGAGAAUUUGCCAUCAAUUUUGUGCAUAUGGGAUUACUUUUUGCAUCACAUUUUGGUAUCACCCUUCCUUCAUAGGUGUUUCUUUCUGCACCUCUACAUUUUUCUUCUUGCACCUCUACAUUUUUCUUCUUGCACCCCUACAUUCAUGUGUAAUUACAAAGUAUCUCUAAGACAUCUAAAAAAACCCAAAAGGAGCAUAUCUCACUCUUUCUUUCUUCCUUUUCUACAAUUGUUGUGCACCUUGUUCAAGGAGCGAACAAAGGACAAUAAGUGGUAAUGCAUUGGGAUGUUGUUGGUGGUUCAUUUUCUGAAAUCUUGAUGGUGGUUAGAUGAUUUCUAAGAUGACUCUGUAUUAAGAAAAGAAGAUAAGUAAUAUUAUUUUUUGUUUACACUGUAUUGAGAAAAGAAGAUAAGUAAUAUUAUUUUUUGGUUACAUAUUGGAUGUUUAAUUUUUUAACUAAUUUUGAAUUCCGUAAUGCAACUUUUAGGAUUUCAGAGACAAGUGAGUCCGUAAUAGAGCACAUUGAUCCAAGAAUUAACUAGAUUGGUGUAUUUGUGUGGUUAUUUACACUUUAUAAACAUGGUUGUAAUUCCUAGCUGUAAUGGCAAAUAGAAAACUCUUGUAGCAGCCAAAUGGAUCCAGACUUUUUUUGUAAAAAACGUGGUGCCCCACUUGCAGCAAACAGAAAAUAACGAGUAAAUAAAAAAAUAGGGUUUGCAGGAAAUAUAGAAAACAAUGAGGAAAGAAAAGAAUGGCAUGUGAAGGCACUGUAAGGAAGGGUGAUGCCACAUCGUGAUCAGAAUGAGUGGUUGUGAUGGAUGAAUGAAUAAUUAAGAUUCCUUCACAUUCUAAACAGUAUCUCACUUUCAUUCUCUAACCAUUUAUAGUAAUAUCCCCACGUAUUCUUUCUUCUUUUAUAACAAAAACAAAAACAACCACCCCUUUUCUCUUUUCUUUUUUAAUUUACUACUUUUAAUAUUAUUAUUUUAAUAUUUUUUUAUAUCAUUUAAUUAUAAAUCAUUCUUUUAUUCUGCUCUCCAUGUGAAUGUUUGAAGAGUAAAUCAUCUAGGUGUCAAAAAGAACAUUGACAUAUUGGUUUAUAAUUAAAAAUUCUUGAUUCUACAUAUUUUUAACUUUGAGUAGGAAGUUGAUGUUAUAUUAUUAUGUUUAUAUUUAUUAGUUCAAAUUUAAUUGAAUUGAAUAACUGAUUUUUUUCUUUAAUUUAUAAUAGAAUUAAACAAUUAUUAAAAUAAUUCAUAUUUAUUAAAACUAACCACACCAACAAAAGUUUAACGAUACAUAUGAUAGUGCCUCAUUUUAGAACUAAGAGGAAUUUGCAGCAAACAUGUGGCUUUUAGGACUCGUAUUGCAGCAGCAAUUAUGCAAGGAAUCCUUUUUUCUUCAAAUCUUCUACAGCAUCCUUAAUAAUCUCUUCAAUUGGAGUGAAUUGCAAACCCAAAUCCAUAAGUUUCGUUGAUGCAUCCUUCACUCUCAGUAAUCCUGGUUGGGUAUCUCGUUGCAUCCUUUCAAGCAAAAUCACAAACUACAUCAUUUACAAGUACGUUAUGCAUUAACAAUACAUGUAUGAAGUGUGUGGGUAACUUACUUAGGCACAUUGUACUCUGGAUAAAGUUCACCAACUUGGGCUGCAAAAUCACCAAAGUGAGAGAUAGCUUCAGCACACAGAUGCCUACCAACUGCAGAUUUGUUCUCAUACACCAAGAUAUGUGCCAAUGCUACAUCCUUAAAGUGGACCGAUCCCAUAAAAAUGUUCUCAUAUGUUUCAUCAGAACCUGCCACGCCACAUACAAAAGGUCACAAAUUCUCAGUAAUUCCCCUAAAACAUCAUAAAUUGGGUAGUUUCAUGUUAAUAUUCCGGUCAACGAUUAUAGAUUAUAUGGUAAAAAAUUUAAUAAAAAAAAAGUGUAGUGAUUUUCACGAAUUAUAAAUGUCCUACGCAUCUAUACCAUCGACCAAGUUGUAGCAGGUCUUGUGAAAUUAGUCUAAUAGUUAGGUAACAACAACAGUAGCCCUAUUCACAUUAUACCAUUUUAAUCAGUUAAAAAUGUAUGCAUCAUUCAUCACAAGAUCCCUAACAUGGUGUUAAAUAGUGGUAUGCGACUAUGACUUUAGUGGUUCCGUCCACAGAUUUGGACGGAUGAAUACAAACAGAAAGCAUGAAAAUCAAAAGUAAAAAAUUGUUAGAUUCUUUCCUCGCAUAGCUGUGAGGAGUAGCAAAGAAAGUUGAAUAAACAUUAUAAUCAUAUAUUUACAAUAAAAUAUAUAUUCUAUAACGGAUCAUUACAUAGUCUGAUGACAUAUAUUUAUCAAAUAAUCCAUUUUUUUAAUAAUAUAAUUGAUUAUGGAAUAUACAUGUUAUUAUAUUUUUAUAUAAUUAUUAUAUUAUAUAUAUACACUAAAAAAAAUAUAAAUAUAGUAAAAAAAAUAAUUAGUUGUUAUAAUAACUAAAUUAGAAAUUAUUUUAAAAACUAAAAAAAAUAAUUUUUAAAUUAGUUUAUAUUAUUAUUAAAUAGUUUUGUAAUUUGUAUUUAAUUAGCUACCAAGGUUUUAACUCCCAAUUAUUUAAUUUCUAAAUUUGGUCGUAAAAAUUUUGGUUGCUAAUUAAAUACUAAUUUAAAAAUUAUUUAAUGAUAAUACAAACUAAUUUAGAAACUAAAGUUUUUUUUUCUCUAAAAUGAUUUAUAAUUUAGUUACUAUAUCAACUAAAUAUUUUUUAUUCUCUAAACAUAGUUUUCUAUUUGAUGUUUUUUUUUAGUGAUAUUAUUAAUUGAUUAAUAUUUGUAUUUUUAUUCUAAACAUAAUUAAUUAUACAAUAUAAUACAAUGUAAUAAUAAUAAGUAGUCAAACAAUAAAGAAAUAUAAAAUAAUAAUAAUAAAAUAGUCUCUACCUUGAAGAAGGUGCAAAAGCAUGAGCAUGCUUGCAUUAAGCCUCGGUGCAAUAACCGGACCCAACACCAUCCCAGGAUUCACUACAACAACAUCCCACUCACUCUCCUUUGCCAAAUCCCACGCUGCUUUCUCGGCCAAUGUCUUCGACAAUGGAUACCACAACUGUUGCACACACAAACACUUCACACCCCAACACAUAACAAAAACAAACACAAAAUUCAAAAAAUGAAAACCCUUUCUAACCGCUUUUUCCUUGCAAAAUUCAACGUCAGUCCAGCACUCCUCCUUCUUUGGAACAUCACCGGGCCAAUUGGGGCUCGGAACAAUCGCGGUGAUGGAGGACGUCACCACCACGCGACGCACUCCAGCUUCUUUCGCUGCCGUUAGCACGUUCACGGUGCCCUUUACCGCCGGGUCCAGAAGAUCCUUCUGCAUGAAGACCCAAAUGGGAUGAUGCAAAAACCCUAAAGAUUGAAAAUUUGCAAGAAGAUCGAGAGAACAAAACCUGGGGGUCCUGGACUUCAUCAACAAUGCAGGGAGAGGCGAUGUGGAAUACGCCGGCGCAGCCGCGCAUGGCUUCGAGUACGGAGUCGUAGUGGAGGAGCUCCAUCUGGAAGAGGCGGAGGCGCUCCGACGCUCCAUCCAAGGCUUUUAGAUGCUUUGUCUCGGCCUCAUCGUCUGUUAGAAAAGUUGUGUUGUGCUGUGUAAGUAUAUAUUGGGAUGAAACGAAUGAAUAAUGAGAGUGUGGAAUGUACUAACUGAGAUUUCGGACGGUGGCGUGAACGGUGUAGCCGCGGUCCAGAAGGAGGUGGACGAGCCAGGAAGCGAUGGCGCCGCUGCCGCCGGUGACACACACCACCUUCUCCAUUUUGCAACUUAAUUCUAACACGAAAACGAUCACUAGAGACUUGAGAAGUCCACUUUGAAAUCAAGAGAAGAAGAAAGAAACAAGUGUAAUGAUGUGACGAACAUACACAUUUUUAUAGAAUAAUAUCACUUCAAUACUAUUAUUUUAAACAUCUAUACAUCCGUAUUUUAUUAUUUUAUUCAAUUUUUAUGUUAAAUUUCAUAAAAAAUUAACAUUAAAUAUAUAAAAAAUAUUACUUAAAAAAUAUUUAUUUUCUUUUUCAAUUUGAGUUUUUUUUUUUUUGAAGUUUUUACUCUUCUUCCAUUGAUAGUUUUGGAAUGAGAGAGUAUAAUGAUGAUAAUGAUUUUAUAAAAAAAUAUAAUUGUUUCUAAUGAGGAAUUGAAAAUAAAUGUUAUUUUAUUUGUUAAAUUUUAUGUAAAAACUUGAUCGUAUGUUUUAUUUUUUUCUUUUGUCUUAAAAUUAAGAAAAGAGUAGGAGAUGUGCAUAUGCAAUAAUAUUAAAAUAAAAAAUAGUUUUAAUUUUUAAUUAAUUUAUAUAAAAUAAUAAAAUAUUUAAUUAUAUUAAUAAAAUGAGAUAUAUUAAAUAAAGAUAAAAUAAAUUAUACACUAAAAAUCGAUUAUAAUAAAAAAAUUAUAUAUAGAUAUAAAUAUUUUUUUAUAUUAUUUAAUUUCAAAGUUAGUCUUUAUUAUAUAUAUUUAAUUGUCAAACUGUAUUAAAAAAAAAAGACAGGGACAGUAGAAUUAAUUUGACAGAAAACGAAAGACAUGGAAAAUUUGACAACAAAAAUAUCGAAAUCAGCAAUGCAGAAUUAAUUAUAGGAAAGUUGGUGAGUACGAAAACCAAUCCAAUUUUUUAAAGGAUCCGGAUUUUUGACAACGUACGCAUCGUAUAACUCUGAAAAAAUCUUAAUAUUUUAAUAGUGUGUGAUCUUCUGUCAUAUUGGAAUCUUUUUCUUAUCUUUUUUGUAGUUUUCAUAUUUUGAGGUUUCUUUCUUUUUUUUAAGCUUCACUAUGUAUUUGCAAAUUUUUCUUUGUGCACUGAAACAUUUAUUUUUUCUUCUGUAUUGUUUUUAUUUGAUCUCGGUUUUAUUUAUUGUUAUCGUUAUUCAUAAUAAUAUUAUUUUUAUUAAUACUAUUAUUAAAAUUAAUAAUAAUACUAAUACUAAUAUUAAUAAUAAUUUAAAUAAUAAAAAUAAUUUUAAUAUUACUACUAAUUAUAAUAAUAUUAUUAUUAUUAGUAAUAAUAUUAGUAUUAGUAGUAAUUAUAAUAAUAAUAAUUAUUAUUAUUAUAAUAAUAUUUUUUAACUAGUGUUAUUUAUUUAUCUUUAUAUUCUUACAAUUCCGAUUUAAUUUAGUCAAAUAUAUUCUUAAAGAAAAAAAAUAUUUAUUGUCAAACAUAAUUUUGAAUUGGAUUUUUUGACAUCAUUGUUAUAAUUUUAUUCAAAAUGAUUUUUUUUAUGUUUAAAUUUCAUAUUGUGAUUAAAUUUAGUAUGAAAGAUUUUAUUUAUUGAAGUACUGAGCAAUUGGACUCGAGUAUGAUUGAGGUUAAUCCGUUGGUCAUUUAAAAAAAUGGUUUAGGAAGUGGUGACCUAGUCUAACGGUUAGAGAGGAUGAUGAAUAAGGUGAAUUGAGUUUGUUUAUAACACAUUAAAUUUAUUAUUCACAUGAAAUUUAUUUUUCACAUGAAAAAUGAAAUCUAUUACUUUAAACAUGAUUGUUAAUAUGGAUAACAAAGACCUACUAACUAAUAAAAUUGUCUUAAAUCAUAAAUUAAAAUUAUUCUACACAACUACAAGUUGGAUUGAUUCGUUAUAAUAAUUGUACACGGAUAACAGUAACAUUAGAGAAAUUCAGCUUGUACGAGACUGUUUUCUCAAUGCCUUGUUUGAGAUUUUAUAUUUUGUUUGACUGUGUGGCUUUGUCGGUAUGGUAGACGUUCCUUGGUAGAAAGAGGAUAAAGUACAAAUUUGUAUAAGGGUUAGACCACUAUGUAGUGGUUCAUAUUUAUUAUUUUUUAUUGAUAAUAAAAAAACAAUUUUAUUAUCAUUUUAUUUUAUUUAUUUUGAUGGAUGUAUUACAAUAGUAUAAUAAAUUAUUAUAGAAUCAUAAUUUUGUAUUAGUUUUUUUUUACGUUCAAGUUAUAUUUAGUAUGUAUUUUUUUAAAAUAAAAUCAUAUUUAUAGAUUUUUGAACUUAUUGAAAUAUCGAAUAAAAUUAUUUGAAAAAUCUAUUAUUGAAUAUUAUAGAUCAUUCCAAGACUCAAUCAUAGAGGAACACAAACUCAUAGUACCAAAGGAUAACUUUUUUUUCAUUAAUUUAAUUUCCAACUCAUUGAGAUAAUUAUAAAAGCAUUUCUAUCCAUAACAUUAUGACAAAAUGUAAAGUACACUUUAUUUUCUUAAUAUAUAUAAUUUGACUUUGAUUAACCAAGUGGGCUUGCUGAUAAAAAAAAAACCAAGUGGGCUUCUUCAAUACCUGCAUCAUUUUAAUAUUUGGUAACAUUGUUUAUGGUUUCCCAAUUUUUACUUUAUGCAUAUGGACCCACUUUUUGUUUGUUGCUAUUUUACUUUAUUCAUUUUCAUUUUAUUUUUAAUUCAAAAUAUUAUUAUAUUAUUAUAAGUGUAUCUUAUUUACUGUUGUUUAUUGUUUAUGGUUUUAAAGUAACUUUUCUCUUUUGUCAUACAUUCACAUGGGGAGCGCUUAUUUGUUUGCAUGAAAAUUGGAAAUAAGGAGUUGAAGACGUACAAGAAAGAAAGAGUAACUCUAAAUAAAAGAAUAACUUCACUUUUUAAAAUAAUUAGUACGUUGAACCGUGGAACGCACGGGAAUUUUUUCAAUAUUUUAUAUGUAAAUAUUAAUAUUAAAAUUAAUAAUUUAAUUUAUUUAUAUAUAAUUUCAGUUAUACUUCCGUAUUUUUAUAUCUUUCUUAUAUAUUUUUAGUUGUAAUAUUUGAAAAAGUAGUUUUUGGAUCGAUCAAUACCAAAUGAGUGAGUUAUUUCACUUUGAAAAUUUAUCAACCACAUUAAAAUACAUUUAAGACACUCAAUAAAUGAGUUGCAACAAUUAUGAAAACUACCUACAAAUCAAAGUCAUAUCCCAUCUCGGUGAUACUCCGGGAAAAUAAUUAAUAUUAAUUUAUUGAAUAUAUUAUCUAAAUAUACAUAUCUAUAAAUCAGGGAAUCUCCUUAAAAAAUCACUUAACACUGAUAUUUGAUAAAUUCGACCCAUAACAAGAAAUGACUCAUGAGUAAACCCUUUACAAAGAAGGAAGAUACGCUUUUGAUCAAUUUCACUAUACACUCUUAACACAAGGUACUUACUUGAUCGUUGAAAAACCUUUUGCAAGUUAACUCCUAAUCGACUAUUGAGAAAUUGAGGAGAAGGAGUCUUGAAGUUUAAAUGAGUGAAGUACUGAGGAGCAAGGGAGGGACCGACAACCAAAACAAUUGUUACAGUCAAUCUCAUGUUAUAUCUAGUCUCACUUUGUCUAUACAAGUACAAGUACCAUAAUUUCAUCGUGUGUAAGAGGCUUGACGAGAAGAUUUGUUGUAUUUGACAUUCUCUAGUGGAAAGACAAUUUUUUUAGUUUUGUACUUCAUUUUUACACAUUGUUUUUUUGUGGUUUCCAAAAAAAAAAAAAACAAAACAAAAACAGAGUCACCACCGAACAAUCAUCAUCACUUGAAAAUGAAGAAGAUACAACACUCUCCAUCAAGUAUUGUUGGAAUUAAAAAAGAGUAUGUAAGUGGAGGAUGAAGAUAUGGAGGUGCAAAGAGAAUUCGCCAUCAAUUUUGUGCAUAUGGGACUACUUUUUUCAUCACAUUUUGGUAUCACCCUUCCUUCAUGGGUGUUUCUUUCUGCACCUUUAUAUUUUUCUUCCUGCACCCCAACAUUCAUGUGCAAUUACAAAAGUAUCUCUAAGACAUCUAAAAAACCCAAAAGGAGCAUAUCUCACUCUUUCUUUCUUCCUUUUCUACAAUUGUUGUAAAAAACGUGGUGGCCCACUUGCAGCAAACAGCAAAUAAUGGGCAAAGAAAACACGAUGACCCCACUUGCAGCAAACAGAAAAUAAUGAGUAAAUAAAAAAAUAGGGUUUGCAGGAAAUAUAGAAAAGAAUGAGGAAAGAAAAGAAUGGCAUGUGAAGGCAUUGUAAGGAAGGGUGAUGCCACAACGUUAUGAGAAUGAGUGGUUGUGAUGGAUGAAUGAAUAAUUAAGAUUCUUUCACAUUCUAAACAGUAUCUCACUUUCAUUCUCUAACCAUUUAUAGUAACAUCCCCACUUAUUCUUUCUUCUUUUAUAACAAAAAACAUAAACAACCACCCCUUUUUUCUUUCCUUUCUUUUAUUUACUACUUUUUUUAUAUCAUUUAAUUAUAAAUCUUUCUUUUGUUCUGAUCCCCAUGUGAAUGUCUGAAGAGGAAAUCAUUUAGGUGUCAAUAAGAACAUUGACAUAUUGGUUUAUAAUUAAAAAUUCUUGAUUUUGCAGACUUUAACUUUGAGUAGAAAGUUGAUAUUAUAUUAUUAUGUUUAUCUAUUUAUUAACUCAAAUUUAUUGAAUUGAAGAACUGAUUUUCUGCUUUGAUUUGUAAUAGAAUUAAACAAUUUUUAAAAUAAUUCAUAUUUAUUUAUUCCUUCAUACUAAUAAUAAAACUAACCACACCAACAAAAGUUUAACAACACAUAUGAUCGUGCCUUAUUUUACAACAACAGGAAUUUGCACCAAACAUAUGUGCCAUAAGGACUCAUAUUGCAGCAGCAAUUAUGGAAGGAAUCCUUUUUUCUUCAAAUCCUCUACAGAAUCCUUAAUAAUCUCCUCAAUUGGAGUGAUUUGCAAACCCAAAUCCAUAAGUUUCUUUGAUCCAUCCUUCACUCUCAAUAAUCCUGGUUGGGUAUCUCGUUGCAUCCUUUCAAGCAAAAUCACAAAGCACAUCAUUUACAAGUAAGUUAUGCAUUAACAAUACAUGUAUCAAGUGUGUGGCUAACUUACUUAGGCACUUUGUACUCUGGAUAAAGUUCACCAACUUUGGCUGCAAAAUCACCAUAGUGAGAGAUAGCUUCAACACACACAUGCCUACCAGCUGCAGAUUUGUUCUCAUACACCAAAAUAUGUGCCAAUGCUACAUCCUUAAAGUGAACCGAUCCCAUAAAAAUGUCCUCAUAUGUAUCAUCACAACCUGAGACGCAAC
rnacentral:lncRNA from 1 species